CUGAAUAGGCGGGCCUCGAUCCCACAAAAACUAGUUAACAGCUAAUUACCCUAGCCAGCGGGCUUCUACUCG
rnacentral:tRNA from 1 species